rnacentral:lncRNA from 1 species
CAAAACUAGUACAAUAGAGUUCAAGGCUCCGUGGUCUAAGGUUACAUAGUUUAGAUCAAACAAGACAAUCAGGGCUGAGAGCCCAACUACAUACAAGAUCUAAAACUUCUCCUUGAAAUGGCCGCCUUGAUCCUUAACUGCAACUCGCAUUCCCAGCUCUGAACCUGCCACUCUCAAUCGCCAAGGAGAAAAAAUGUGGGAUGAGCUUUGAAGCUCAGUAAGAAAAUCUAGUGUUAUGCAUUGGUAACAAUUUUAUUAAAUAUAGGAAGUUGCACAGUAGUGGUCCUAUGCAGUAAUCAAUAUAUCAAUACGUCAAUUGCAAACAUGACAUCCAAAUAGCAAUAAUCAUGCAAUCAUUACAAUUACAGGAAAUCACAUACACAAUUCAUUCAUUACACACUCACUCCCUAAUCCACCGACUCCUUUUAGUAGAAGCCCUAUCCAUCAGGCCAAGCCAAACCCGUUGCUUAGGACUUCUACCAUCCCAUAGGAGGGAGGGUAAUGACAAGUGGGGUAAUCGGCUUCGUAAUACCCUCAACUCACGCAUACGGUCUCUAGCGCGCAUUGGGGUUCGACAGACCCUUACCUUGCAAGGCAUCAAUAAAUCACAUAUCUCAUCUCAUAAAUUACAGGGAGCAAUUGUCUUUUCUCCCCUAACCAUUUCCUGUCAUUGUUCAUGUUAGGGAACCUGGUGGCAUUACUGUCUUAGCGUACCAGUCUCCACUACCGAUGGGUAUCCCAUCGCUAAAUGGCCAGUAUCCAUAAACGAUGGUUAUUAUCACAAUAAUAUAACAGAGCAGUGUUCACUACCAAUGGGCGUCCCACUGCGUAAUGAUCACCAUUAGGGCCUCAUCUCUCGGUCGAACAUUCCAUUCAUCCAUGCCAAUUCAAGGCUUUGUAACAAAUAAAUCAAAUUCUCAUUAUAAUAAUAUGACAUUUAGCGUAAGGCACCCAUCACAUAGGCUAGCAUGGAGUACUUACAAGUGGUUAUUAUUAUUGACAAUCUGGCACUAAUCAUGAAAAUUUUGUCAUUAAGUUAUCGCUUUGAUAUUGCCAUAUCACUUUUCACAUAGCACAUUGUGGCAAAGCAUCAUUCACAGAGUCUUAGAGUACAAGCAUGACAAUUAUCAUAUAUCAUUCACACUUUUCACUUAUUAAGGAAAAAUUUGAUGUUCCAAUUAGUAGCUAAAUGAGAAAUUAAAUACUUCACUUAUAAAGGAAAUCGGCCCUUAUUUGUUAGAUCAAAGGCUUGGCCCCAUACACGCGAUAGUUGUUGGAAAACAGUAAGCAGUGACGUGAUAAUACAUCUUGAGGCAUAACUCAUAAUUUAUAGGAAAUUUCGAAAAUCUCAAAACAUGCACAUUGGUGCCCAUUCAUAGACAUUUCCAAUGGUGUAAUUUACGGGCUUUUGGAAGCCUUUUGCUAGGGCAAAGGUGUGUCCCAAAGUGAGUCACAGGUGCUGGGAUUUACAGCAACUGUGAGUAGUGACAAGUUUCACAUUUUGGUCUACAUCUUUUAAUCUAUACAGCAUUUCAAUAUGGCAUCAAAAGAAAACUUAAAGUGGACACAUGUAUCUCUCUUUCGGGAUCGGUUUGAGUCCGUUUGGGUGCUGUUUGGCCAGCAAAACGCAAGAGCCCUCAUAAUUGCUAGAAAUUUCCUUUCCCACAAGUAUUCACAUGUUAUUAUCAUAAUACACACCAGUUAUAAGUUGAAUUAGAAAGUUUGGCAAGAAGAUUUCCUUUAUAAUUUUUUCCAAGUUCAUUGACAAUGGAUAAUUUCUCAUUCCGUUUCCAUUUUCCACAAAUCUCUACGUUCUUGCAUUUUAACCUACCAUUUUCCUAUUUUUCAUAUCACUUUAUUCCAUGGAGAUCUCAAGGCAUAGCAAUAACUUCAUGAAAAAUCUCAAGGCCUAGUACUAAAUCCACUUACCUAACGGCCACGAUGCUCCCAACUCCCUUGCACAGGUCGCCCCUUACUCCCCCACGGCAGAUUUACCCUUGGAUUCUCACAUGUAGGUUGCCCUUGCUCCAGCCGGCAACUGCCCAACGACAGUAGCACAAGACUCUCUAAAAAAUAAGGUUUGAGGGAAUGAGAAGGAAAACGGUGCUGAGGGUGAGGAGGGGUGUGAUUAAUAGGCAUGUGGGUUGGUGGGAUUCACUAUGGCUGACGUCGCGGGUGAUUGGGGAAAAGGGUUGUGGCUAACAUCACACGAGCUGCGCGGUGAUGACAAAUUUGGCGCGAAGCUGACCUGCUACGCACAAUAUGCUCGCAAGGACGCUCCAGCCGAUGAUACCCUCGUGAUGAUGUGCCAAACGACAAUACACUCGUGGUGAUACUCUAGUCGGCGAUACUAUUGCGGCGAUGCCUCCACUCUCGCGCAGUUACCUCCUCUCUCGCACAGUGGUACCUCCUCUCUCGCACAGUGGUACCUCCACUCUCACGCGGCAAUACCUCCACUCUUGUGCAACGAUACCUUCUCUCUCGUGCGGCCUCCUCUCUCGCGCAACGAUACCUCCUCUCUCGCAUGGCGAUACCUUCACUCUCGUGCGGCGAUACUUCCUCUCUCAAGCGGCGAUGCCUCCUCUCUCACGUUGCGAUACAUCCGCUCUCGUGCGGCGAUACCUACUCUCUUGCUACUUACACGGCGUUGUCCCUCUAUUGAUUCUAUUGUCGUGUGCAUCUCAAGAUCAGGAAAAUUUGUGGUCCUUACAUCAACAAGGAGAGACAAUGGAAUUUUAAAGAAUAUGAAGGGAUUAGAGGUCAAAGAAAGAGGCAAAAUGACUGCCCUUGCCCUUGACUGCCCCUUUGAUUCAAAAUAUCCCCCAAGGGCAAAAAGGGAAAACAUUUUCAAAAGGUGUUAGAAUGGAGCGAACCCGGGCUUGUUGCAAAGCUCGAGCCCGACCUAGUCCAAAAAUGUCUGUUUAAAGCCAUGAUUGGGCCUCUUACCCAGGCCACUGUGCCCAUGAAGGCUUGGGUGGACUUGUUCUCCUUUUCCUCUGUCAAAUGCUCAUACCCCGCGCCUAAGGGUGGGUCCGUCUCUCUCUUCCCCCUCUUGUUCUUUCUUGUCUUGCUUUCCCCUCUCAUCGAAGUUCCAGGCCUGUGCCUACGGUGGGCCUGUCAUCACUCAUUCUCCGCCUCUCUCAUGCCCACUUGAUAAAUAUUUUUGGGCAUGCUCCAAGGCGCGUGCCCGUCAUCCUCUCGUUUAUCUUUAUCACCCCCUUUCUCAUCAAAGUCCUAGGUCCGUGCCAAGGGCGGACCCAUCAUCUCAUCCUCUUUUCAUUUCUCUCGUCUCUUUUGAUAGGUAUGGACCCCCAACCAAAGGGUGUGUCCAUUAUCCUCUCUCAUUCUAUUCUACUUUAUCAAAAUUUCACCCUCAUUUCUCAUUCAUCAUUACUCACAUGAGCCUAUGGUUUAACCAUGAGCUCAACACACACUUGUGCACAUUGAUACAAGGUGAUCAAAGGGGUUAUGCUCUUGUUUACCUACACACACUAACCCCCCAAUGGGCAACCUUGAGCUAUGUGAAGCCUAUAAUCUUGAGCUCAAUAGCCCCAUUUUUAUACCCUCUACAUUCAAAACAUGAUCCUGUUAGCCCAGUAAAACCCAUCCCAGACCCACUUUCUAAACCAAUUACAAACCCACCAGAUUCAAAUAUCCUAAAAAUGAUGUACUUCACCAGGUCAUCAUCAUUGCAAAGGAUGUUUUCUACCCUUAAUGUGCCUGAUCCCCAGUAGAGACACAUGCUUAAUGUGUCCUAUUCCCAAUGAAGACACACUGAGCACUUUUUACAAAGGUAUCCUUGUCCCUCAAAUGCCACUAGAGAUACACCUUUGCAUAGGCUUCAAAAUUGUAGUUAAGCCUAUCAUUUGGUUGAUGCAUGACUUACAAAAUAAUCACGAUUUCCACUGUAGACCAUGAUGACUUAUAAAAGCCACGGGAGUCCCAAUCACCCCCAUCAACUUGGCUUAUUAUCCCCGUAAGUUAGGUAAAAAAUCAUCUCUUUGUCUAAGAAAUUACCCUUUUCAUUGAAAUUCCAUCCACCAGCUCAAAUAUUAUCAUAAACCAUCCUAGAAACCUCUUCACCUGAGCUUCACCUAAGAACUCCAUUAUCCCCAUGGGGCUACACUAAAGCAUACCCUACUCAUUUGAGCCUUCAUAAGAUCUCAUUUGAGCCUUCAUAAGACCUCAUGAGUACUACCAUGCUCGAAGAGUCAUAUGGACCUUCAAUAGUUCAUUAGCCCCAGUGGAUCAUUACCCCCAUCACCCCGGUGGUCUAUCACUUUAGCGAUUCAUAAGCCACAGUGACUGGUCGUCAUCCCCAAUGGUGUAGAUACAAUAUGACUUGUGUAUGAAACAUGUUAUAUCUUCAUCACCCAAGGGAGCCUUUCAGUCCCCAAGAAGGUAACCACUUCUCUACCCUAAAGAUACCUAUUAUCCCCAAGGAGUUAUCAUGCACCAGUGAUCUCCUGGUAUACUUAAACCGCUAUAUCCCAAUAAGUGUGAGUCAUUCAUCACCUUGCAUAAACCCAAAAUAUCUCCAUUAGUUUGCAUCCUCCUAAUAAACGCCUCACCCAUAGUAUUUGUUACCUUAGUGAGCCUUAUACGGUCAUAACCCCUCCAUCAUAUUCAUCAUCAAGGAGGAGGUCUUCCCAUUUAUAAAGACAAACACAGUCAUGAAAUUGUGGGUAAAAUUGUUAAAAAGAAGCCAAGCAUGAUGAACAUCUAAUGAGGAUCAUCAUGAGUAAACGUGAGAACUUCAAGUGAACAUAGCCAUGAAGCUCUGGGUAAGAUUGCCAAAAAUAAAAAGUUGGGCAUGGUGAAAACCUGAAAGGUCACCAUGAGUAAAAAUGAAAGACGGGCGUGGCUAUGAAGCCACAAGUAAACGUGUUCUAAAAUAGAAAAGUGGGCAUGGUGAAAAUCCACAAGGGUGCCAUGAGUAAAACUGGAAAUAAAAAGGUGGAUGUGACCUCGAAGUCACAGGUAAAAGAACCUCAAUAAACGAAGAAGUUGGUGAAAAUCGUUCUGCGACAGCUCAAGUGAAAACCUGAAAGGGCUCCUGGAAUAAUAAAUAGUUGAUGCAGCAUUCACCCUCAUAGGUGGCUUCAACCAAUUACAGCAAAUGCUCGGUGGUUUAGGAAUUAAUACCCUCAUGGAUACCUUACCAUCGACCAAAAAGAGCUUAAGAAAAUCCAACAACUUUGGUUAGAAUGGUGAAUGACUCCUGAAGAUUAGAAGAAUCAUCAAGAUGGCAUGUCAGGAUAGCCAUUUGUUGAAGAGAUUCUCCAAUCUAAGAUGUCAACCAAAAACAGGAAGAGCAUGUCCACAAUUCAACAUAGAAGUUCGUAUAAGGCAAUUGAUUGCCUAGCCUGAAUCGAUACCCCAGUUUCGAGGGUAAUUGUCUUAUUAAUGUUCCCAUCUAUUAGCAAGUUUAGACCUUUGGGACGGCCACUAAAAAUCCAUCAACUUAGUGCUAGUAUGAUAGGAGUUUUCAAUGUAAAAAGGGAAGGAAACCCUUAAGCAAGGCCCCCGCUGCUAGACUUUCAAAAAACAAAAUCUAACAGAUUGAAACAAAGUCUGCAAGCAAGACCCCUGACUAUCAGACACAUCUGGAUUCUGAUAAUAAUGGCUCCUAAGCCCUUAAACAAGGCCCCCAGUUGUUGGAACAAAAAAUACCACUGGAUUGGGAUCAAGCCCCAAAGGCACCCACCAGUUAGCGCAUUUAGAAGCAUUGUUGAGCUGGGAAGCAAGCCCAUAAGCAAGGCCCCUGGUUAUCAUGCUACCUCAGAAAGGGGAUUCUAGCAGUAUUGGGUUUAUCAAGCCCUUAAAAGGCCCCCAAUCGUUAAAAUCCACUUCGGACAUCCCCAAGGAAAGAAUCUUGGCAUUGUCUCCCCCUCAAGAAUUAUGUUGAUGUCAAUGAUCGAGAAGAAAAAGAUUGUUAAUAGAUAAUAAAAGCACCUUGUUGUACGUCAUUUUUUACAUACUUUCAUCUCCCAAGCGAACAAGGAGAGAGCCGCAACAGCCUAGCCUUGCAGGUACACAAGACACCGGCAGGCCAACGUUGUGUAUUAAAAUAAAGCCUCGAACCAUAUGACUUGGGUACGGUGCCAUCACACCAAGGAAGGACCUUAUAAGUGUAGACCUAUGCUAGCAGCUUCAAAACUAUAUCGAACCACUGCCAUCACAUUCAGAAUGUCAGAAAACCUCAGGGGACCAAAUUUGGACAUAAUCGGACCACCCAAAAGGGGUAUACACCCAGGCGGCCUCGCAGCAGGCGGGUUUCACACUAGCGCAGUGAGGCUCCACCGAACCAGUCCCCAAACAUGAAGACUGCAACAUCAUAUUUUGGGAGCAGCUUUAAGAACCCAUGGUGCCUUCCACUGAAACCAGGAAGGGCUCAGAUCCUAAUAUGUUCAAGAUCACGCCAACCUCGUCAUUUUGACCUAAGGCAAGCACUUUGUGAGACAUAGAGUCAAACUUCUCCUGAAAAGAAUGUGCCCGCAAAACCAAAAAGACCAGGUUCAAGAAGAAGAAGCCUCGAAUCCAGUGAAGCACAGCUCGACAUCCACGCAUCGGAUCACCGCAGGGAUGAGUUUAAUGCAACUACCUCGCGAAGAGCUGCAAAUUGGUAUAACUCUUACGUUUAAUCCAAGGUCCAAUGGAUGCAAGUCCCUAGGUCACAAAAAAAGUAAAUCUGCCCGGUUACCGAAAUCCCUCUUUCCGUUGACCUCUCAAAUUGGGCAAAAACGUAAACCAGAAUGGAAUCAGCCUAAACUUGGUCUAAAAUUACUGUGACUGUCUCCUCUUUCAUUUGCAAGCAGAGCUAAGAGUUAGAACAUCACAGGUCGAAAUGCAUUGGCGAUCAAAGUUCACAAAUCUUGCUAGACUUCCACCCCUUGGGAAACGGCCACUGUUGCAUGACUAAAGGGUAUCAAAAUGCUCAGAGUCACAAGGACAUUGAAGAUAUGUUGACAAAUCUUCUGAGCAUCACCGCAAGUUGUAGAAAAAGCUUCCAAGAUCUACCAUGGCAGAACAACCUACAUGCAGGGACAGCUUCUUCGUUAGCGGAAAACAUAUCAGGGACAUUUUGGUUAUUACGCCUAAUUUCGAGAUUUAUUCCCAAUUUCUUAAAUUGUAAUUAAGCUUUUUUUUUUAGCAUUCAUCCCUAUUUGGUGAAUCAUCUAUAUAAGUAGGCUUAAGUCACUUGUAAACGGGGCUAGAAAAAUCUUUUUGGCGGGGUAUUUACCCAUUAUAAAACAGAGGCAUUACGCUUGUUCUUUUUGUCGUUUGCUUCUGAGUUCUUAGUUCCAUCAAGAAAACAGAGAAAAAUUUGAGGGAGAGAAAAAACCCCUGAACGCACGGGUCCAUGGGCACCUCCGAGUGCACGGACUCUUCCUUCCUCUUUCCAAAAUCGGGUCACGCUCCAACCCUUUUCUCUCUCUCUCUCCCCCUUAUGCAACCCACGUCACCAACAGAUCCACGGACGCGAGGAAGGCCACGGGCUCCAACCCUUGGGUUCUCUCACAUCCCCCCAUCAGCCAGCCCCUCGAGACAAUAGCCAUAAGGAGGAACAGCCAUAUCUCAUACCGGUCUUAAGCGACUGAGAGAGAGAGUAGAGAGGUUGCGAGCCUGAAGAGAGUCUUUGUCCAAGCCGGAGGGCUUCAUGACUGUUCUAAGAGGGAUGACCACCCGAACAUGUCCCCCGAUCCCCAAGCGGUGAGGCUAGCGUCCCAAAGCCCCCCCAGCUGUUAAAAAUCUCUCUCAUUGUUGGUGCCUAUUCACCCAUAGGAGUCCCGCACACCUGCGCGCACCCCUCACCGGUGCGCGCCCGCACCUCCUCGUGCGAGCCACCCUGCAGUUGUCCAAGAGAUGCUUCUCAUACCAACCCGCCAAGAACUAAGUCCAACCACACCUCAAUAAGGAUUUGAAAGAUGAACUUUGAUGACAUUUUGUUCCGAAUAUUACCCUCCUUGCUUCUCUCAAAGAGUAGAAUUCGAUGGCAAAAUUUUUUAUAUGUCAUUUUUGACGUACCUAUAUCCCUUGAACGAAUAAUGAAAGAGCUGGUAGUAACCUGGUCCUGCCGGUGCCCAAGACGCCGCCAUAUCAUGUGAUCACUGUAGCAAUAUUGGGCGACCUCUGAAAAUGUGUCAGAAUGGCCUCUAAUUGCAUGAGAGGGUAGUUUUGGAUACCCCAAGAACACCCAUAAAGUUUCGUCACGUUCUGAUACGUUUUGAGUUAAUCAGGACGAAACGCACUUUUCAAAUCUAGUUCAUGUCAUGUUCAAAAUGGACUAUAUAACUAUAGCCCUACUUUAUAGGUCUCAAAAGAGUAACAUGCCACUUUCAUUGGAUCCGAAAAGUUGAAAAACCCUCAAGGACCAAAUUUCGGCUCAAUCAGACCCCCCGAGACCAUUCUAGGCCUAACUUAAAAAAAAAAGGUGGGUUUUACACUAUUUUAGUGCAGCCUCGCUGAACCAGAAAUGGAAACUUUGUUUUCUCAUGGCAGAAUGAAUUUCAAAUGCUAAUACCUUGCUCUUUUUUUGUCUAAUUAAGGUCAAAUUCGGACAUGAGCUAGAUCUCAGCGAUACGCUCGUUUUGACAUAUGGCACCCACAUGGCGUAGCCCGAAACGAGAGAAUUCUUAGAGAGAUGUCGGUCUCAAAACAUAAAAAUUAAGAUUUUAAAAAGAGGAACAUCUCAUUCUUUAAGAGGCUAUAGCUCAAAAUUCCGAUGUCGGAUCGUCGCAAGUAUGUGUCCAUUGCGACCGUGCAUCGAAGAGAUUCAGUUUGACAUAAUUUUUUAGUAUGAUCAGAGGUCGAAUGACAUCAAAUUUUGAGGUCAAAAAAGGCAUACUUUUCCAGUUGCUGGAAUCCCACUUUUCGGCGACGUCCCAAAUUUGAAACGCGCUCAAACUAAGACCAAAUUGGAUGAAAUUCAUCACAAAAUGAUCAUGAUAAUAUUCUAUUCAAUUUGUGAUCAAAAUGAAGGCUCGGAACAUCAUGAAUCAUGUCGAAUCAGUAGUCGAAGAAUCAUAAUUUUAUGAAAUUUGGCCGGAUUUUGGGUUUUUUCUUAAAACAUUGUUCCAAGACGAUCAAUGGGUAUAAAAACGCAUGUAACAAUCCAAGCAUCAAUUCUAAGAUAUUUGAUGACUCGAAUUGCCGCAGUAAACAUCCGAAAAAGCUCCCAAUGCUUAACAAUGGUAAGAGGCCCUUCAUGAGGGAUGGUUUUAUCAUUUGUUAAAAAAUAUUUAGGGUAUUUUGGUCAAUAAUUCCAAAAAUGGGAUUAUUAUUUUAAUCCAUUAAAUGUGUGCUUUUUGACAAUUCUAGUGGUUUUUGAGCAAUCCAGCCUUGUUUUGUGGUUGCUCUGAAUAAAAAACUUAAGUCAUUUGUAAUAUAUCUCUUAGAGAAACUCUUGAGAGUUUUGGAAAUUAGUGAGAAGAGCUUGAGAAUUCUAAGAGCUUAAGCUUGCUCUUUUGGGUCGAUUCCAAACCCAAGACUCAGGGAGAGAGGAGAGAGAAACAAUUUUUAGAGAGAGAAAAUACUCUUAGGAACCCUUCACUCCCUAGAACCCCAAAAUUUCUAUUUCCUUAGGAUUCCCAACUCCCAAUCUUACCUUAUACACUCUAGUUCCUAUAUACCCUAGAAAUGCUAACUCUCAAUCCUACUCCAUACAAUCUACACCCUACCUUAGCUUUCCUACACCCAACCCUACUCCAUACACCAUAGUACUCCAUACACCAUAGUUUUCCAUACACCUUAGUUCUCUUAUACCUUGCCUUAAUCUAUACACUUUAGUUACACCAAUACAUCAUAGGAUCUAUACACACUAGUUCCCAUAUACCAUACCUUAACCCAACCCACCUAAGCGAUAUACCUAGACCUUAGACCCUAACCUUGACCCAUAAAGAUCAAGAUUUCUCUGUCAAGUGCAUGCAAAGGAACCAAUGAAGGUCUACGUAAGCUCAAGCCUAUUCUAGGUCCACUCUCUAUCCUCUUCCUUAUCUCUAUCUUCUCUCUUUCUCUCUUUCUUCUUGCUUCUCUCUCUCUCCCUCUUCUCUCUUGCUCUCUUCUUUAUUUCUUUCUUUCUUUCUCUCUUCUCUCUCUUUCUCUCUCUUUCUCUCUCUCUCUCUCUGCUCAAGCCCAAGGCGAGUCCGAGCCCCCUCCUCUCCUCUCUCUCUGCCACUCUCUCUCUCUUCUGAAAUCCCAGAUCCGCACCUUGGGGGGUGACUCUUCCCUCUUUUGUUAUAUUCUUUCUUCUAUCCCCUCACAUCCAAAGAUCCCGGACCCACACUUAAGGGGGGUUCGUAAUCUCCCUCCCUUUCUUAUUCUCUCGUCUUCUCUCUCACCCUACGAAGGUCAUGGACCCACACUUAAGGCGGGUCCAUCUCGUUUCCCCUACUCUCUCAUCUCCCAUAGAGUCCGGAACCGCACCUAAGGCGGGUCCAUCUCAUUUGCCCUAUUCUCUCAUCUCCCUUAGAGCUCGGACCUGCACCUAAGGUGAGACAAUCUCUCUCUCCCUUAUACUCUCAUCCUCCCUCACCCCCUCAUGCCUUACUUAGUCCCAGACCUGCAACUAAGGCGGGUCUGUUCCUCUUUUUUUGUUCUCUCACCUCUUCUCACCCUCUCUCGCACCACAAAAUCCCCGACCCGUACCUAAAGCGGGUCCAUCUCCUAUACCCACACCUCUUACCCCCUCUCAUUCUCAUCUCCUCCAAAGUACACAGACCUGCACCAUAAGUGGAUCCAUCACCUCUUCACUUCUUUAAACUCCAUACUCUAUCUCUCUCUCUCUCUCUAACCCAUAUAUUCAUCUCUCAACUAUCAUUUCUUUAUUAUUAUUUUAUCAUUUUUUUAUUUCCUCUCUUUACUUGCUACUUCUUUCACCCUUGAGCACUUAAUCUGGGGUCUUCUUGUGAUAGUGCCUUAGAGUUCUAACUCUAGGAUUGCUAUCCAACCAUCAGCUCGUACAAUGUUGUUGAGUCAUAAGAGACACUGAUUCUCUUGCACUCGAUCACUUGGGGUGGGGUCAUCCUGAGCUAGUUUUUCUUAGAGUUCUAACCCUUAUACUACUCUAACCACCGGGUUAUACAGUGUUCGAGUUGUGAGAGAUUUUCAUCUUUUUUCACUCUCUUCGCUUCUCUGCCUGAAUCAUUGUUAGCGAGGAUGAAAUUAACAUUACUGAGAGAAAACAAGUAUGGGAACUUGUCGACUUAUCUGAAUAUAGGAAGGCAAUAGGAUGCAAAUGGAUUCUCAAGAAGAAAUUUAAAGUUGAUGGAACCAUUGAUAAGGCUAGAUUAGGAGCCAAAGGGUUUAUUAAAAAAGGAGUAGAGAAUGUGGAGACAUAUGUCCUUGUUGCAAAAUCUACAUCUAUAAGGAUAAUUAUAAGCAUUGGUAGAAUAUUAAGACUUGGAAUUAUUUCAAUUUAGAUAUUAAUUCAGCUUUUUUUAAAUGGAGAAUUAAAUGAAGAUAUUUAUAUGAAAUAACCAGAGGGAUAUAUAAUUCUAUGUCAAGAAAAAAAGUAUAUAAAUUAAAAAAAUCUUUAUAUGGCCAAAAACAAUCAUCUAGGCAAUAGUACAUAAAUUUUCCCAAGGCAAUUGCCCAAAUUGAAUAUAUAUAGCUAAUAUAUUGGAUCACUGUGUAUAUGUUUCGAAUAGUAGGAGUAAAUUUGUGAUUUUAUCCCUAGAUGUAGAUGUUAUUCUAUUAGCUAGAAAUGAUAUGAAAAUGAUCAAUAAAACUAGAUCUUGGCUUAAUUCAAUUUUGAAAUGAAGGAUAUGGGAGAAGCGUUAUAUGUUUGGGAGAUUACAAGGAAUAGAAAUUAUAGGCUUCUCUACUUAUUUUAAAAAAAAAAUUUGAAAAAAUAUUCUUAAGAGAUUUAAGAUGGAAUACUACAAAACAAUGAAAGCUCUUAUUUGUAAGGGCAUGAAGCUAUCAAAUAAAGAAUGUCUAAUUAAUGAUGCAGAUAAAGCUAAAAUGAAACAUGAUUCAUAUAAAACAAGCAAUUGGGUCUACUAUGUACAAUACCUUACAUUAGUUUGGCAAUAGGAUAUAUCAGUGGAUUUCAAAGUAACUCAAGUAUGACUCACUGGCAAGCAAUUAAAAGGAUACUCAGAUAUAUCCAAGGGAUCAAACAUAAUAAAUUGUGUAAUCAAGUUGAUGACCUGCAAAUUCAUGAAUUCUCUAAUGUAGACUUCACAUGAGAUCCUGAUGAUAGAAAACUCACUUUUGAAAAUCUUUUCUUCUUUAGAUGAGGUUAUGUUUUUUGGUUUAGUAAGAAACAUGAAUGUGUUGCCCGUUGCAUAUUAGAAGCGAAAUACAUCUCUUUACUAUAGCUUCUACUUUUGUCGUCUAGACAAACCACUUCAUUAGGGAUUUAAAGCUGCAAAUAACUGACAAGCUAGUUCAGAUAUUUUGUGAUAACGAGACUGCAAUUUUGUUAACUAAAAAUUGACCAAUUAGCUCUAAAUGUAAACAUAUAGCAGGUGAUUAUCAUUAUAUCCAAGACAUAGUGGAAAACAAAGAAAUUGCAAUACGUUAUUUGUCUUCCAAUGAUAUGAUGGCGGAUCCUUUAACCAAGGGAUUGACUGCUAAAAUGUCCUCUACACAUGUGACUAUGAUGGGACCUAGAGAAUAUAAAUUUUUCUCCCGAGAGGCACAUUUGAAUGCUACAAAGGACUAAAUCAUGUAGAUGUACAAAACUUUGUAGCGAGCUAUGUCAUAUUAGGUAAAAUAAUAAAAAAAUAGUAAAAAAUUAUCUAUAUGCUUCACAAUAAAAUUCUUCUCUCCAUAUCUAUUUUCUUUCUCUACCAUUCUCAAUAAAAAAUUAUUUCAGGCAGGUUGGAGCCCAGCCCUAAUCGGGCCAAAGAUGCAAUGGCCCGGCCUUGGCCCUAGCCCUAUCAAGGCCGGGCUAGGCCAAGAAAAAUAGAAAAAAAAGAAAAAAAAAAAAAAGUAAAAGAAAAAAUCAAAGAAAAAGAGAGCUGGGAUUUCUACCAUUGGGCCAUGGUUGCCAGACCUUAGCCUGUCCUUAGGCCACAUUUUGUGGCCUAAGCUCUAGUUUUUUGGGGCUAGAUUGACCAGGCGGGGUCGGGCCACUCAGCCCACUGCCACCCUUAUUGCUCAAAAGUAGGGAGUUUAUUGAAGUGGAUUACUGUGUUCACUUUAGUGACUCAAUUGUUUUAUCGAGUAUUAGAUAAUGGUAAAGUCUCUGCCGCUUCAUAAUUUGAGUAAUUUGGCAAGAAGUUCACAGACGAAAGAGAACCGAAGCAAAUACAUUCAAAAAGUAAUAUGGGAGAUAACUUGAGAAAUCAAAAUUAUUGUUGUAUUUUAUUAUGGAAAAUAUUACCAUUUACCUUUGAUAGAAGGGUUACAAUUAAUCUUGACUAUUGAAUGUGAAAUUGGGUGGUUAAAUUUAUUCCAUUGACCAAAUUUAAAGUUUAAAAGAAAUUUUCUCGAAUAUUGUGACACAUCCAAGCUAUCAAAUUUCACAUCUGAUGGUUAUAAGUAAUUGUAACUUCCUUGCACUAAAGGUAAAUCAUCUUAUUAUAUACAAUCCUUUUAUAAAUAUUGGAAUUUUUUUUCUUUUCUCUUUUGGAUGAGUUAGUGGGGAAAGAGCCCCUACCCUGAUAGGAAUUGAGCCUAGGAUGUAGCAUUGCAAAUUGUCAAGCACUUACCACUUAAGCCUAGGCUCUUUCCUAAGCAAGUGGUAAGUUAGUAGGGAUUUGAGCCCCUACCCUUUGGUGAGAAUGGAGUCAAAGACUUCAUCAUGGGACUCGGCAUUACUACUACCAAAGCCCUAGGCUAUUCUCUAAAAAAAAUGGUAAUUAAGUAGGGAUUUGGGCCCCUACCCUUUAAUGAGAAUAAAGUCAGAUAUCUAAUUAUAGAGCUCGACAAUACUACCACCAUGGCUCAACCACCCAUUUUAAAUCUAAGUUAGUGGGGAAUUUCCUUUCUUUUGAACUUUAUCAAUGGUAUAUCCCAACCACCCAUUUUAAAUGUAAGAGCCACUAAUAAUCAUGACCUCCUUGUACAAGACAUAAAUGAUCUUAUAGGGGUGGCAACUGGUCAGGUAUAGAUCAGGUCCGACUAGACUCGAAUUCCGAAUCCUGACCCUAAAUACCACUUAUGGACCCUUCCCCUUAUCCGAGAUAUGGAUUAAGACUUGGGACCCGGACCCAUACCCAUACUUGGGACAAAAAUGAGGAGAUCCCCUUUUUAAUGCAUAAUUCUGUAAAAAAACUCCCAAAUUUCAUUUUUAAUGCAUAAUUAUGUUGAAAUCACCCAAAUUUCCUCAAUGCAGCUUCUUCCACAAAGAGAAAGUUACCAAAAAAACUGCAUUAAAAUGCAAAAAACAAAGCUCCAAAAUCAAAUAAUGACUUUCCAUUUUUGUUGAUCUUCCACCGAGUAUCAAGAUGCAAAAAAGAAAGUAUGAAAAUCAAAUAAAAACUUCCCAUUUUUGCUGAUCAGCAAAUGCAAAAAAUAAAAAUAAAAAAGCACGAAAUUAAAGAAAAUUUUGCUAUUUUUGCUGAUCUUCCACCAAGCAUCAAGAUGAAAAAAUAAGAAUACAAAAAAAUCAAAUAAAAACUUAGCAUUUUUGCCAAUCUUACACCAAGCAUCAAAUAAAAACUUGCCUUUUUUGCUCAUCAAUGAUCCAGCUAGCCUUUUUUGCUCAUCAAAAAAAACUUUCCUUUUUUGUUCAUCAAUGAUCCCGCUUGGAAGAGAAAUAGGAUUUGACAGCAGCAGGGGAAGAGAGAGAGAGAUAGUUGGACUUUUGCAUGGGAAGAGAGAAGAGAGGUAACGUUUUGCAGGAGAAGAUAGAGAAAAAAAUGCAAAUCUAGUGUCAAAGCUUCACAAUUCGAACAAAUGCAGAGCUUGGCCGACUAAGGUUUAUGUGGUCGUAGCUUCGAAUAGAGAGAGGGAGGGAGCUCAAAGCCUCAAUGCU